CUUGAUUAGCAAUUUAAGACUAAUCUGCAUAUAAACAUUGACCGCUGUGGAUAAUAAACUAUCAAUUUAUAGUACAAAGUAAUUGGCUAAAAAAAGGCCUGUUCCAAAGUAUAUCUGAUUAAAAGUGAAUGAAAAUGCCAAUUUACAUACUUGUUGCAUUUUUUAAACAACUGUAAUGCCACUUCAGUCUUUACAGUAAUUUUCUUUUUAAAAUGUACUUUUAAUCAGUGAGGCUUGAUAUUGGCAUAUCAGGAGCCGGUGGUUCACUUGAUGUCGUUGGUUCAUAUUUGUUAUAUUUGUUUUUCGUAAAUUGUUUUAAUUUCAAAUGAUCUCAAAUCAAGCCGGUAGUUUUCUCAAUUGAAUUGUAUUAUAUUUUUCAAGUUGGAUCCUUUUAAAGUCGACUAUAUGGUAUGGAUUUGUAUCAUUGAUGAAGACCGUACACAGUUGCCUAUCAUAGUUGCUUACAUCCACUUAAUUUCUUAUUGGUAAUCAUACCACAUCUCGUUAAUAUUUUUUUAGUAAAUGCGUGGAAUAUUCUCAGAUAAUUUAA
rnacentral:lncRNA from 1 species